CAGUAGCCACGGUAAUACGAAGGGGGCUAGCGUUGUUCGGAAUUACUGGGCGUAAAGCGCACGUAGGCGGAUAUUUAAGUCAGGGGUGAAAUCCCGCAGCUCAACUGCGGAACUGCCUUUGAUACUGGGUAUCUUGAGUAUGGAAGAGGUUAGUGGAAUUGCGAGUGUAGAGGUGAAAUUCGUAGAUAUUCGCAGGAACACCAGUGGCGAAGGCGGCUAACUGGUCCAUAACUGACGCUGAGGUGCGAAAGCGUGGGGAGCAAACAGGAUUAGAUACCCGUGUAGUCCCUGUCUCUUAUAC
rnacentral:rRNA from 1 species